rnacentral:rRNA from 1 species
AUGCAAGUCGAUCGGAAAGGUCUCUUCGGAGAUACUCGAGUGGCGAACGGGUGAGUAACACGUGGGUGAUCUGCCCUGCACUUCGGGAUAAGCUUGGGAAACUGGGUCUAAUACCGGAUAGGACCGCAUGCUGCAUGGUGUGUGGUGGAAAGCUUUUUGCGGUGUGGGAUGGGCCCGCGGCCUAUCAGCUUGUUGGUGGGGUGAUGGCCUACCAAGGCGACGACGGGUAGCCGGCCUGAGAGGGUGUCCGGCCACACUGGGACUGAGAUACGGCCCAGACUCCUACGGGAGGCAGCAGUGGGGAAUAUUGCACAAUGGGCGCAAGCCUGAUGCAGCGACGCCGCGUGGGGGAUGACGGCCUUCGGGUUGUAAACCUCUUUCACCAUCGGCGAAGCCCAUAGCUUUUGUUGUGGGUGACGGUAGGUGGAGAAGAAGCACCGGCCAACUACGUGCC